rnacentral:rRNA from 1 species
CUACGGGAGGCAGCAGUGGGGAAUAUUGGACAAUGGGCGCAAGCCUGAUCCAGCCAUACCGCGUGGGUGAAGAAGGCCUUCGGGUUGUAAAGCCCUUUUGUUGGGAAAGAAAAGCAAUCGGUUAAUACCCGGUUGUCCUGACGGUACCCAAAGAAUAAGCACCGGCUAACUUCGUGCCAGCAGCCGCGGUAAUACGAAGGGUGCAAGCGUUACUCGGAAUUACUGGGCGUAAAGCGUGCGUAGGUGGUUGUUUAAGUCUGUCGUGAAAGCCCUGGGCUCAACCUGGGAAUUGCGAUGGAAACUGGGCGACUAGAGUGUGGCAGAGGGUAGUGGAAUUCCUGGUGUAGCAGUGAAAUGCGUAGAGAUCAGGAGGAACAUCCGUGGCGAAGGCGACUGCCUGGGCCAACACUGACACUGAGGCACGAAGGCGUGGGGAGCAAACAGGAUUAGAUACCCUGGUAGUCCGCGCCCUAAACGAUGCGAACUGGAUGUUGGGUGCAAUUUGGCACGCAGUAUCGAAGCUAACGCGUUAAGUUCGCCGCCUGGGGAGUACGGUCGCAAGACUGAAACAUCAAAGGAAUUGACGG